rnacentral:rRNA from 1 species
UCGGGAAUUUUGGGCAAUGGGCGAAAGCCUGACCCAGCAACGCCGCGUGAAGGAUGAAGUAUUUCGGUAUGUAAACUUCGAAAGAAUAGGAAGAAUAAAUGACGGUACUAUUUAUAAGGUCCGGCUAACUACGUGCCAGCAGCCGCGGUAAUACGUAGGGACCAAGCGUUGUUCGGAUUUACUGGGCGUAAAGGGCGCGUAGGCGGCAAUUCAAGUCAUCUGUGAAAUCUCCGGGCUUAACUCGGAACGGUCAGAUGAUACUGCUUUGCUAGAGUGCAGAAGGGGCAAUCGGAAUUCUUGGUGUAGCGGUGAAAUGCGUAGAUAUCAAGAGGAACACCUGAGGCGAAGGCGGGUUGCUGGGCUGAUACUGACGCUGAGGCGCGAAAGCUAGGGUAGCAAACGGGAUUAGAUACCCCUGUAGUCCCUGAGCGGGCUGGCAAGGCGCAU